rnacentral:rRNA from 1 species
CACCGGCGGCUCGAGUGGUGGCCACUUUUAUUGGGUCUAAAGCGUCCGUAGCCGGCUUGGCAAGUCCCCUGGGAAAUCUGGCGGCUUAACCGUCAGGCGUCCAGAGGAUACUGCCAGGCUUGGGACCGGGAGAGGUGAGAGGUACCUCAGGGGUAGGGGUGAAAUCGUGUGACCCCUGAGGGACCACCAGUGGCGAAGGCGUCUCACUAGAACGGGUCCGACGGUCAGGGACGAAAGCUGGGGGCACGAACCGG